CCUACGGGGGGCAGCAGUGAGGAAUAUUGGUCAAUGGCCGAGAGUCUGAACCAGCCAAGUAGCGUGAAGGAUGACUGCCCUCUGGGUUGUAAACUUCUUUUAUAUGGGAAUAAAAUGUUCCACGUGUGGGAUUUUGUAUGUACCAUAUGAAUAAGGAUCGGCUAACUCCGUGCCAGCCGCCGCGGUAAUACGGAGGAUCCGGGCGUUAUCCGGAUUUAUUGGGUUUAAAGGGAUCGUAGGUGGAUUGUUAAGUCAGUUGUGAAAGUUUGCGGCUUAACCGUAAAAUUGCAGUUGAAACUGGCAGUCUUGAGUACAGUAGAGGUGGGCGGAACUCGUGGUGUAGCGGUGAAAUGCUUAGAUAUCACGAAGAACUCCGAUUGCGAAGGCAGUUCACUGGACUGCAACUGACACUGAGGCUCGAAAGUGUGGGUAUCAAACAGGAUUAGAUACCCGGGUAGUC
rnacentral:rRNA from 1 species